AUGAUGAACACAAAGGGAAGAGAAGAGGGGCCCAGUAUAUGUUAUCUAAGCCUUUUAGAAAACAGGAAGUUAUUCCUUUGUUCACAUACAUGCGAAUCUAUAAGAAAGGUGAUAUUGUAGACAUCAAAAGAAUAGGUACUGUUCAAAAAGGAAUGCUCACAAAUGUUACCGUGGCAAAACUGGAGCAGUCUACAGUGUUACUCAGCAUGCUGUUGGCAUUGUUGUAAACAAGGGCAAGAUUCUUGCCAAGAGAAUUAACGUGUGUAUUGAGCACAUUAAGCUCUCUAAGAGCCAAGAUAGCCAAGACAGUGAAGGAAAACGAUCAGAAAAAGAAGGAAGCCAGAGAAAGGUACUUGGGUUCAACUGAAGCGCCAGCCUGCUCCACCCAGAGAAGGACACUUUGCGAGAGCCAGUGGAAAGGAGCCUGAGCUGCUGGUACCCAUUCCCUCUGAAUUUACGGCAUAA
rnacentral:lncRNA from 1 species